rnacentral:misc_RNA from 1 species
GUAUUUUGAAUUGUUUAUUCAUAAUAUUUUUCAGACAAAGAGUUAAAAGAUAAAGGUUGAUGUUUGGUCGAUCUCCAAGAAGAUCGACUGACAUUGCACACAAGGUGGAUAUGGAUUUAAAGAGUGCCAUAAAACACUCGUUUGUGAAUGAUCCUUCCGCAGGUUCACCUACGGAAA